GAUGAACGCUAGCGGCAGGCCUAAUACAUGCAAGUCGAACGGGAUCCAGAUCAAAGCUUGCUUUGGUCUGGUGAGAGUGGCGCACGGGUGCGUAACGCGUGAGCAACCUACCCUUGUCAGGGGGAUAGCCCGGCGAAAGUCGGAUUAAUACCGCAUGACAUCAUUGAGAGGCAUCUUUCGAUGAUCAAAGAUUUAUCGGACAAGGAUGGGCUCGCGUGACAUUAGCUCGUUGGUAAGGUAACGGCUUACCAAGGCUGCGAUGUCUAGGGGCUCUGAGAGGAGAAUCCCCCACACUGGUACUGAGACACGGACCAGACUCCUACGGGAGGCAGCAGUAAGGAAUAUUGGUCAAUGGACGGAAGUCUGAACCAGCCAUGCCGCGUGCAGGAGGACGGCCCUAUGGGUUGUAAACUGCUUUUAUACGGGAACAAACGUCGGUACGUGUACCGGUCUGAGUGUACCGGAAGAAUAAGGAGCGGCUAACUCCGUG
rnacentral:rRNA from 1 species